rnacentral:rRNA from 1 species
UACGAGGGGGGCUAGCGUUGCUCGGAAUCACUGGGCGUAAAGCGCACGUAGGCGGCUUCUUAAGUCAGGGGUGAAAUCCUGGAGCUCAACUCCAGAACUGCCUUUGAUACUGAGGAGCUUGAGUCCGGGAGAGGUGAGUGGAACUGCGAGUGUAGAGGUGAAAUUCGUAGAUAUUCGCAAGAACACCAGUGGCGAAGGCGGCUCACUGGCCCGGUACUGACGCUGAGGUGCGAAAGCGUGGGGAGCGAACAGG